rnacentral:rRNA from 1 species
AUUGAACGCUGGCGGCAGGCCUAACACAUGCAAGUCGCACGAGUGGCGGACGGGUGCGUAAUGUCUGGGAAACUGCCUGAUGGAGGGGGAUAACUACUGGAAACGGUAGCUAAUACCGCAUACCAUCAGAUGUUCCCAGAUGGGAUUAGCUUGUUGGUGGGGUAACGGCUCACCAAGGCGACGAUCCCUAGCUGGUCUGAGAGGAUGACCGGCGAAACGGGGACUGAGAGAAGGUGCAGAGUCCUAAGGGAGGAAGCAGUGGGGAAUAGUGCACAAUGGGCGCAAGCCGGAUGCAGCAAUGCAGAGUGUAUGAAGAAGGCAUUCGGGUUGUAAAGUACUUACAGCGGGGAGGCGUUACCCGCAGAAGAAGCACCGGCUAACUCCGUGCCAGCAGCCGCGGUAAUAC